rnacentral:rRNA from 1 species
CAGUCGCCGCGGUAAUACGAAGGGGGCUAGCGUUGCUCGGAAUUACUGGGCGUAAAGGGAGCGUAGGCGGUUUAUACAGUCAGAUGUGAAAUUCCUGGGCUCAACCUUGGAACUGCCUUUGAUACUGGACAUCUUGAGUGUGGGAGAGGUGAGUGGAACUCCGAGUGUAGAGGUGAAAUUCGUAGAUAUUCGGAAGAACACCAGUGGCGAAGGCGACUCACUGGCCCAUUACUGACGCUGAGGCGCGAAAGCGUGGGGAGCAAACGGGAUUAGAUACCCGCGUAGUCCCUGUCUCUUAUAC